GAUAACCUGCCUCAAGGCUGGGGAUAACAUUUGGAAACAGAUGCUAAUACCGAAUAAAACUUAGUAUCGCAUGAUAUCAAGUUAAAAGGCGCUACGGCGUCACCUAGAGAUGGAUCCGCGGUGCAUUAGUUAGUUGGUGGGGUAAAGGCUUACCAAGACGAUGAUGCAUAGCCGAGUUGAGAGACUGAUCGGCCACAUUGGGACUGAGACACGGCCCAAACUCCUACGGGAGGCUGCAGUAGGGAAUCUUCCACAAUGGGCGCAAGCCUGAUGGAGCAACGCCGCGUGUGUGAUGAAGGCUUUCGGGUCGUAAAGCACUGUUGUAUGGGAAGAAAUGCUAAAAUAGGGAAUGAUUUUAGUUUGACGGUACCAUACCAGAAAGGGACGGCUAAAUACGUGCCAGCAGCCGCGGUAAUACGUAUGUCCCGAGCGUUAUCCGGAUUUAUUGGGCGUAAAGCGAGCGCAGACGGUUGAUUAAGUCUGAUGUGAAAGCCCGGAGCUCAACUCCGGAAUGGCAUUGGAAACUGGUUAACUUGAGUGUUGUAGAGGUAAGUGGAACUCCAUGUGUAGCGGUGGAAUGCGUAGAUAUAUGGAAGAACACCAGUGGCGAAGGCGGCUUACUGGACAACAACUGACGUUGAGGCUCGAAAGUGUGGGUAGCAAACAGGAUUAGAUACCCUGGUAGUCCACACCGUAAACGAUGAAUACUAGGUGUUAGGAGGUUUCCGCCUCUUAGUGCCGAAGCUAACGCAUUAAGUAUUCCGCCUGGGGAGUACGACCGCAAGGUUGAAACUCAAAGGAAUUGACGGGGACCCGCACAAGCGGUGGAGCAUGUGGUUUAAUUCGAAGCAACGCGAAGAACCUUACCAGGUCUUGACAUCCUUUGAAGCUUUUAGAGAUAGAAGUGUUCUCUUCGGAGACAAAGUGACAGGUGGUGCAUGGUCGUCGUCAGCUCGUGUCGUGAGAUGUUGGGUUAAGUCCCGCAACGAGCGCAACCCUUAUUGUUAGUUGCCAGCAUUCAGUUGGGCACUCUAGCGAGACUGCCGGUGACAAACCGGAGGAAGGCGGGGACGACGUCAGAUCAUCAUGCCCCUUAUGACCUGGGCUACACACGUGCUACAAUGGCGUAUACAACGAGUUGCCAACCUGCGAAGGUGAGCUAAUCUCUUAAAGUACGUCUCAGUUCGGACUGCAGUCUGCAACUCGACUGCACGAAGUCGGAAUCGCUAGUAAUCGCGGAUCAGCACGCCGCGGUGAAUACGUUCCCGGGUCUUGUACACACCGCCCGUCACACCAUGGGAGUUUGUAAUGCCCA
rnacentral:rRNA from 1 species